ensembl:lncRNA
GAAGCCUGACUCUCCCAGACCACAGCCCGACGCCCAGCCAUGCUGACGUCCAGACUCCACACAAGGGCCUCCGAGAGGGGACAAGAUGUGAUGCCACGACCCCCAGCAACCCCCCUCCAACACCACCGUCCCUGUGAGCAGAAAUCCCCUGAAUCCUUUCCUUCUUCGUCAAGGCCCUCCCUCGGGAGGGAUCUUUGUGUGAGAGGAGCACUGAUGCUUUGGGAGGAUGGCAGGCCAGCCCGGGAGGGCUCAGAGCCUGGCCGAGCCAGGUCAUCAUGCCAGGAAAGGUGGAGGCGAGGGGCAGAAGAGCAUGUGGUAUUGAGGGGAAGGGGCUGGGAGAUUGUGGGGAUGAGGUGGGCUGGGUGGUGGCCUCUCAGUCAGGGAGAACCCGAGGCACUAGGGGGCUGGAAUGGGUGGGAGGGAGUUGCAUGGGUCAUGUUUCCUGCACCUUAGGCCACUCAUCCCUCAAAGCCUCGCUUUCCUCCCUUAGAUCUUGGGCCUGGGGGAAGGAGAAAAUGAAGCGGGAUAUGGAAGAGCCUAGAGCUGUGCCUGGCACAGAGAGAGGGUCCAUUAUCUGUGUGAGCCUCCGUGGGACUGGAACUCUCCAGACACCACUUCUGUGGCAGGAGAUGCAGAAUGGCCAGCACGGGCAUGCUUGUUCUCAUCAUCAAACUAUGGUGGAGACCUUGCCAGGUCAUUAUCUAUGGAUCUGCUCUGGCAAGAAGUGAAGAGGAACUCAAAAGCCUCUUGAUGAAAGUGAGAGUGGAGAGUGAAAAAGUUGGCUUAAAGCUCAACAUUCAGAAAACGAAGAUCAUGGCAUCUGGUCCCAUCACUUCAUGGGAAAUAGAUGGGGAAACAGUGGAAACAGUGUCAGACUUUAUUUUUGGGGGCUCCAAAAUCACUGCAGAUAGUGACUGCAGCCAUGAAAUUAAAAGACACUUACUCCUUGGAAGGGAAGUUAUGACCAACCUAGAUAGCAUAUUGAAAAGCAGACAUUACUUUGCCAACAAAGGUCCGUCUAGCCAAGGCUAUGGUUUUUCCAGUAGUCAUGUAUGGAUGUGAGAGUUGGACUGUGAAGAAGGCUGAGUGCCGAAGAAUUGAUGCUUUUGAACUGUGGUGUUGGAGAAGACUCUUGAGAGUCCCUUGGACUGCAAGGAGAUCCAACCAGUCCAUUUUGAAGGAGAUCAGCCCUGGGAUUUCUUUGGAAGGAAUGAUGCUGAAGCUGAAACUCCAAUCCUUUGGCCACCUCAUGCGAAGAGUUGACUCAUUGGAAAAGACUCUGAUGCUGGGAGGGGUUGGGGGCAGAAGGAGAAGGGGACGGUAGAGGAUGAGAUGGCUGGAUGGCAUCAACGACUUGAUGGACAUGAGUCUGAGUGAACUCCGGGAGUUGGUGAUGGACAGGGAGGCCUAGCAUGCUGCAAUUCAUGGGGUCUCAAAGAGUCGAACACAACUGAGCGACUGAACUGAACUGAACUGAAGAAUUCCAUUGUAAGGUGAACCAUAGUUUAUCAAUUAAUUUCCCUGCUGCUGGAUAUUGAAGUUAGUUUGCAGUGUUUUGCUGUUACAGUGAUACUGGCAAUAUCUUGUCCUUGGCACUUCUGUGGCCUGUUUGCUUCUCAAGUAGAUUCUAAGGAGAGGAACUUGAGGAAAUGGUAUCAGUUAUCUUUUGCUGCAAUAAUGCUGUGUAACAAAUGACAGUGAAAGUCGCACAGUCAUGUCUGACUCUUUGUGACCCCACGGACUAUACAGUCCAUGGAAUUCUCCAGGCCAGAAUAUUGGAGUAGGCAGCUGUUCCCUUCUCCAGGGGAUCUUCCCAACCCAGGGAUUGAACCCAGGUCUCCUGCAUUGCAGGUGGAUUCUUUACCAGCUAAGCCACCAGGGAGUGUAACAAAUAGUCCUGGAUUUCAUGGCUUAGAACAACAACCAUUUAUUCUUUCUCACCAGUCAACAAGGUGGUUGGGCAGUUCUGCUGAUCUGAUUGUGGUUAUGCUUCCUUAUGUGUUUAAAGUUCACUAGCAAGUCAGCUGGGGAAGGCUGGUCUUAAAUGGCUUUAGCUGGGACAGCCCAUUUCUGCUCCGUAUGGCCGCUCUUCCUCAAUCAGAUUAGGCUGGGCUUGUUCUCCUGGUGGAGGCGGGGGUCUAAGAGGUGAGGGGAAGUGUGCAGGGCCUCCGGAAGUCUGGGCUCAGAACUGGCCCACGGUCACUUUUGCUCCAUUCUAUUGACCAAAACAGACCACAAGACCACCUAGAUUCAAAGGCUGGGGAGUAGAGUCCACCUCUAGAAAGGAAGAGUGGCAAGUCACACUGAAAGAAUAUGGUGGGAGCACGUGGAGGGCAGAAUCGGGGCGCUUUCUGCAGUCAGUCUACCACACUUUUUGAGUAGGCACCUGUUCCGUUCAACUGGAUGCUGCCAAACGGUCCCCCGAGUGGCUGGUCCCAUGGUCUGCAUCCUACGGGCAGAAGGAUUGUUUUCCACACCCUCCGCCGCACAGAGUCUGAGCGCUUGGGCUGGAUCUGUCAUUCUCCACACAGUGUAAGCUUUUACGAAGACGAUGGAGCAAUGAAAUGCAUCCUCUUAGAGUACCAAUUUUACUCAUCUUUUUGAGGGUCAAAAACCCAUUUUUUAAAAAAUCAAGCACAGAUAUAACUCAUCAAAAUGCAAAAUUUGCAUGAAGUCUUAAGGAAAAAAAGGUAAAAUUUCAAAGAAAUAUCUUGCUAUCAAAGCCAGUUACUUUAGAUUUUACACCAUACUCUCAGAAUUUCUGCACUGGUUCACUUGUGGCUCAACUAAUACUGAGAGCUCACCUCCUAUGCACCAGGCAUGGUUUUGGUUCCAGGGACGCAAGGGGUGACCUGAGAGUCAAGGUCCCUUCCCUCUUGGAGCUGAAUAUUUAUGGAGAGAAAAGAGACAAAAACAUUAACAUUGUAAUUUCAAAAAAUGAUAGAAGCCAUGAAUAAAAUAAAACAGGGUAAUAUGGUAGACAGCCUCCAGGGUUCGGAGAUUUCAUUGACUCCUUGAUGGCUUCAGCAAAUAUUUACUGAGUUUCUUUUGACGAUCAAGUCACCAUUCUAGGUGCUGGGGUCAAAGAACAAAGAUCCUUGCCCUUCUAGAGCUGAUACUCCAGGGGAGGCAGGAUGGCAGAGACAGACAACAAAGAAUAGAGAUAACAAAUAUAAGUUAUCUGGUGUAUUAGGUGAUGGGCUUCCCAGGUGGCUCUCAGUGGUAAAGAAUCUGCCUGCCAGUGCAGGAGAUCCAGGUUCAAUCCCUGUGUGGGGAAGAUCCCUUGGAAUAGCAAAUGGCAACUCACUCCAGUAUUCUUGCCUAGAGAAUCUCAUGGAUAGAGGAGCCUGGUGGACCACAGUCCACGGGGUUUGCAAAGAGCUGGACACAACUGAGCGGCUAAGCACGUGCACAUGUGUUACCUGAUAAGGGCUAUGUCCACUCCAUUGCCCCCACCCCCGCCAGAUAAAGAAAAGCAGGAUAAAAAGGGGAAUCAGUCCUGAGAGAUGCUGGGGCAGUAGCUGAGUGAAGUGGGAGGCGGGGGCCUCCUGGCAGAAUUGAAGGAGGGAAGGAGGAGCCAUGCCCUCCUCUGGGGUGAGAGGAGUCCAGGAUCAGGGCACACCUGUGGCAGAGGCCAAGUCAGGAGUGUGCAUGGUCCAUGAAGGAGCAGAAAGAGGCCAGUGGGGCCAGAGCAGAGCAGGGAAGGGAGGGCGGGUGACGAAGCCCCAGAGGGAGUCACACAGCCACAGCAGGCUUUGGGGUUUUCACCCUGCACCAGUGUGGGCCACCGCGGGGUCUGAGCAGAGGAGGGAUGUCCUCUGCCUUCUGUUUCCAAAGGUGCCACUGGUUGCUGCAGAGAAUACACUGUAGGCAAAGGGCUGGCAGCAAAGGAGACCAGUCCAGAGGCUCUGGCAGCUGUCCAGGUGAUGGAGGCUCAGCCCAGGGUGCCAGCGGCGAUGGGGUGGUGGAGUGAAGCGGCCAGACUCUGG